AGAUGAAUCAGGUGGUUUUCCCAGGGUGAGGCUCAUCCAUUGCACUCCGGGUGUGCUGACCCCUGCGAUUUCCCCAAAUGCGGGAAACUCGACUGCAUAAUUUGUGCUGGGACCACUUUCCAUCUGGAAAUC
ensembl:snRNA U1 U1 spliceosomal RNA